AUGUCCUCCAAACGUGUGAACCUGGCUCUCCUCACGAGAUGGCUUUGGCGCAUUGUGAAUGGCGAGGGUGGCAUGUGGCUACAAAUCAUCCUGAGCAAAUACUUGCGCGGCCAACCCCUUGCCUUUUGCAUUAGGUCGGGAGGCUCCCAGUUCUGGCAGUCCGUUGAUACGUCCAUUUUGCAUCAUGUUUUCCUACUGUUAUUUAUGAUGUUUUAUGCGUAA
rnacentral:rRNA from 1 species